rnacentral:rRNA from 1 species
GACGAACGCUGGCGGCGUGCCUAACACAUGCAAGUCGAACGGAAAGGCCCUGCUUUUGCGGGGUGCUCGAGUGGCGAACGGGUGAGUAACACGUGAGUAUCCUGCCCUUGACGUGGGGAUAACUUCAGGAAACUGGGGCUAAUACCGGAUAGGAGAUCCUGCUGCAUGGUGGGCGUUGGAAAGUUUCGGCGGUUGUGGAUCGAUUCGCGGUUUAUCAGCUUGUUGGGGGGGUAGUGGCUUACCAAGGCUUCGACGGGUAGCCGGCCUGGGAGGGUGACCGGCCACCAGAGGACUGAGGGACGCCGCAGUCGGCUACGGUGGGCAGCGGGGGGGAGUAUUGCACAAUGAGGGGGAGUCUGAGACGGAGGCCCCCCGUGCGGGAUGACGGCCUACGGGUGAUGAACCGCUUUCGCCUGAGACGAAGCGUGAUUGACGGUAAUGAGUAAAGAAGCACCGGCUAACUACGUG